rnacentral:rRNA from 1 species
GCUGGGUGGAUUAGUGGCGAACGGGUGAGUAACACGUGAGUAACCUGCCCUUGACUCUGGGAUAAGCCUGGGAAACUGGGUCUAAUACCGGAUAUGACUUCUCAUCGCAUGGUGGGGGGUGGAAAGCUUUUGUGGUUUUGGAUGGACUCGCGGCCUAUCAGCUUGUUGGUGGGGUAAUGGCCUACCAAGGCGACGACGGGUAGCCGGCCUGAGAGGGUGACCGGCCACACUGGGACUGAGACACGGCCCAGACUCCUACGGGAGGCAGCAGUGGGGAAUAUUGCACAAUGGGCGCAAGCCUGAUGCAGCGACGCCGCGUGAGGGAUGACGGCCUUCGGGUUGUAAACCUCUUUCAGUAGGGAAGAAGCCUUUCGGGGUGACGGUACUUGCAGAAGAAGCGCCGGCUAACUACGUGCCAGCAGCCGCGGUAAUACGUAGGGCGCAAGCGUUAUCCGGAAUUAUUGGGCGUAAAGAGCUCGUAGGCGGUUUGUCGCGUCUGCUGUGAAAGACCGGGGCUCAACUCCGGUUCUGCAGUGGGUACGGGCAGACUAGAGUGCAGUAGGGGAGACUGGAAUUCCUGGUGUAGCGGUGAAAUGCGCAGAUAUCAGGAGGAACACCGAUGGCGAAGGCAGGUCUCUGGGCUGUAACUGACGCUGAGGAGCGAAAGCAUGGGGAGCGAACAGGAUUAGAUACCCUGGUAGUCCAUGCCGUAAACGUUGGGCACUAGGUGUGGGGGACAUUCCACGUUUUCCGCGCCGUAGCUAACGCAUUAAGU